CACGUAGGGCGCAAGCGUUGCCCGGAAUUAUUGGGCGUAAAGAGCUCGUAGGUGGUUUGUUACGUCUGCUGUGAAAACCUAGGGCUUAACCCUGGGCUUGCAGUGGAUACGGGCAGACUAGAGGUAGGUAGGGGAGAAUGGAAUUCCUGGUGUAGCGGUGAAAUGCGCAGAUAUCAGGAGGAACACCGGUGGCGAAGGCGGUUCUCUGGGCCUUACCUGACACUGAGGAGCGAAAGCGUGGGGAGCGAACAGG
rnacentral:rRNA from 1 species